AGCAUUGUAGCUCAGGGUAGAGCACUGGGCUCAUAACCCAGGGGACCUAGGAUCGAAACCUAGCAAUGCUA
rnacentral:tRNA from 1 species